CAAGACAUUUACCAAUGAAACCUUGGUGUAUAUUUACCAACAAAACCACAAAGGGAUCCAGCAAACUGAGAUCAACAUCUACUGGCAGAUGGUGAUCAGCAAAAACUCAGGAAGAGUGGUACUGACAGGAUAAAUGCUUACCGAAAGUCACAUAAGUUGGCAUAUCUGCAGGGAAACAUCACGUUAGCCUUUGAGGAGAGAGGCUAUGCAGGGAUCCAAACAAGAAAAUGUGUAACAAUUUCAGAAGUGGCAAGAAGCAACAACAAGAUGGAGAAAGAUGUGAGGGAUGUGACAGUGAACGUGUGUCACCCCCAAGGCUCUUUAUAGCAAGACAACACUGGAGCUCCUCUUUUGCAUGAGACUGAUUUAUGCUGCAAGGUCCUGAAGGAAGACAGAUGUUUUUUGUUUUGUUUUGUUUUAGUGCAAUUCUCCAGUAAAAAUAAAACCCAGGCGGUGAAUAAAUUCAGUUUUCUCCUUUGGGAGAAGUUCACUUCUA